CACGUAGGGUGCGAGCGUUGUCCGGAAUUAUUGGGCGUAAAGAGCUCGUAGGCGGUGUGUCGCGUCGGCCGUGAAAACCUGCAGCUUAACUGUGGGCUUGCGGUCGAUACGGGCAUCACUGGAGUUCGGCAGGGGAGACUGGAAUUCCUGGUGUAGCGGUGAGAUGCGCAGAUAUCAGGAGGAACACCGGUGGCAAAGGCGGGUCUCUGGGCCGAUACUGACGCUGAGGAGCGAAAGCGUGGGGAGCGAACAGG
rnacentral:rRNA from 1 species